AACGCACAUUGCGCUCCCUGGUAUUCCGGGGAGCAUGCCUGUUCGAGCGUCAUUACACCACUCAAGCACUGCUUGGUAUUAGGCCAUCGUCCCCCGCAAGGUGGGCGUGCCUCAAACACCUCGGCGGAGCCUCACCGGCUUUGGGCGUAGUAGAAUUUCUCAACGUCUUAUAAGUACCGGUCUGACUCUUUUGCCGCUAAACACCAAACUUUUAAAGGUUGACCUCGGAUCAGGUAGGGAUACCCGCUGAACUUAA
rnacentral:misc_RNA from 2 species